GUGGGGAAUAUUGGACAAUGGGGGCAACCCUGAUCCAGCCAUGCCGCGUGUGUGAAGAAGGCCUUCGGGUUGUAAAGCACUUUAAGCGAGGAGGAAGGUCUUUGAACUAAUAUUUCAAAGAAUUGACGUUACUCGCAGAAUAAGCACCGGCUAACUCUGUGCCAGCAGCCGCGGUAAUACAGAGGGUGCAAGCGUUAAUCGGAAUUACUGGGCGUAAAGCGCGCGUAGGCGGUAUGUUAAGUCGGAUGUGAAAUCCCUGGGCUCAACCUAGGCAUUGCAUCCGAUACUGGCACACUAGAGUGUGGGAGAGGAAGGUAGAAUUCCAGGUGUAGCGGUGAAAUGCGUAGAGAUCUGGAGGAAUACCGAUGGCGAAGGCAGCCUUCUGGCCUAACACUGACGCUGAGGUGCGAAAGCAUGGGGAGCAAACAGGAUUAGAUACCCUAGUAGUCC
rnacentral:rRNA from 1 species